rnacentral:rRNA from 1 species
GUGUCAGCAGCCGCGGUAAUACGGAGGGUGCAAGCAUUAAUCGGAUUUAUUGGGCGUAAAGGGCGCGUAGGCGGGAAUAUAAGUCAGACGUGAAAUCCCGAGGCUCAACCUCGGAACUGCAUUUGAAACUAUAUUUCUUGAGGGUAGGAAGAGAAAACGGAAUUCCACAAGUAGCGGUGAAAUGCGUAGAUAUGUGGAAGAACACCGGUGGCGAAGGCGGUUUUCUAUCUUAUUCCUGACGCUGAUGCGCGAAAGCAAGGGGAUCAAACAGGAUUAGAUACCCUGGUAGUCCUUGCUGUAAACGAUGUAUACUUGGUGUAACUGGACUCAACCCUAGUUGUGCCGGAGCUAACGCGUUAAGUAUACCGCCUGAGGAGUACAGUCGCAAGGCUGAAACUCAAAGGAAUUGACGG